rnacentral:misc_RNA from 1 species
CCUCGAACACUCGCCGCCUGCGUUUGCUCGGCGUCGCGUGCGACCAGCAGCAACUACCGGCCAGACUUGUCAACUCACAGGGAAGUGUGACAUUGCGCCGAAGUAUACCCUUCCGGGAACGACUAGCUACAACCUCGUUUCUUUCAUUGCCGGCGACUCGUUUUGCGGCUUGGGACGCUCGAAGAGCCACUGGGCUUUCUUGAGUGUUGUGCAGUGAAGCUUCGCCCAUCUCUACUGGCUUUUUCUAAGAAGUGUUAUGAGCGACAUCGGAGUUCGACUACGAAGGGUGGUGUAGGCACCCACCGAGAGCGUGCGGGUAGGCGGUAACGGGCGAGAGCAGCAUGGCGCUCUGGGCCCGUCUGCAGGAGCUUCCCGGGGAGCUGUUGCGUCAGUGUCAGCUGGCCUAUGGCGAGCACUUUCCCAUGGAGGUUCGAUGCGCUCUUGCCCACUGGAUCGAGGGGAAGCCGUGGCAGGAGAUGGACCCUGAUAACCCCUCUUUCGAUAUGUACGCACCGGGCGUGGUGGCCUCUCUGCUUGAGGAGCUGCAACACAAGGCCUCUACCGAGGAUAACUUUGUCAUGCGGCUCAAGCUUCUGGAGGCUGUGAACACCUUUAAGCAAAACUACGGCCACAACCCCCACGCCCUGGUUCGUGUGAUCAAGAACUGCCUUGCGACUGAGAUGCGCAUAAUCCAGCAGGCAGAGAACUGCAGUCGGCUCGCCUCCCACAUGCCGGGCCCUCACGAUCCACACAGUGAAAUAACCCAGCAGCUGGACACGUUGAGAAGGCGCACGCAGGAGACGGAGGACGAACUUCGCCGCAUGAUCCAGAUUCAGGAGUCUUUCGUGAUCCAGUACCAGGAGUGCCAGAAGCUGCAAGCGCACUACCAGCAGCUUUCAACGCAGAACACCGGCGGCCAAACCAACGUGGACCUGAUCAACAAGAUCCACAACGAGACCAAGGCCAUGGAGCAGGCCAUUCGGCAGCGAAUCGGCGAGCUGCGGGAAAUGCGCGUUGCCUUUGCAGAGAAGCAGCAGGAGACAACAAAUAUGCUGGCCGCACUACAGACACGAGUGCUGGACAAUGAGCUCAUUAAGUGGAAACGUGCCCAACAACUUGGUGGGAAUGGCGUUACUUUCGAAAACAACCUUGACCAGAUCCAAGAGUGGUGCGAAGCCCUGGCAGAGCUUAUCUGGCAGAACUGGCAGCAGAUCAAGAGGAUGGAGCAUUUGGCAUUGCAGGUGCCCAUCGGAGGAGGCCAGGCUCCACAAAUAUCCGAGCGCUUUAAGACCCUCAACGCCCAUAUCACUAGCCUACUUUCCUCACUCGUCACCAGCACAUUCAUUAUUGAGAAGCAGCCUCCACAAGUUAUGAAGACGAACACUAGGUUCACAGCCACUGUGCGCCUUCUGGUUGGGGGAAAGUUGAACGUCCACAUGACGCCGCCUCAGGUUAAGGUGUCUAUCAUCAGUGAAAGCCAGGCAAAUGCCCUGCUAAAGAGCGAGAAAGUUGGUGUUGGAGAGGCAAGUGGAGACAUCCUGAAUAAUACUGGGACCAUGGAGUACCACCAGGGUACAAGGCAACUGAGUGUCAGCUUUAGGAACAUGCAAUUGCGGAAAAUCAAGCGAGCAGAGAAAAAAGGCACUGAGUCUGUCAUGGAUGAGAAAUUCGCACUGCUGUUCCAAUCGCAGUUCAAGGUUGGAGGUGGAGAGCUAGUGUUCCAGGUUUGGACGUUGUCACUACCAGUGGUGGUGAUCGUGCAUGGAAAUCAGGAGCCACAUGCCUGGGCCACAGUAACCUGGGACAAUGCUUUCGCCGAGCCGAAAAGGAGACGUCCUUCCCCCCACAACCAGAGCCGUGUUCCGUUUGCGGUGCCCGACAAGGUUCCCUGGCACCAGCUGGGUGAGGUGCUCAGCAUGAAGUUUAAGUCUGCGACGGGGAGGGGCCUGUCUGAGGACAACCUGCGGUACCUUGCUGGAAAGAUCUUCCGCGGCCAACCGAUUAAGGACGGCAACAACACGCUUGUCAGCUGGUCUCAAUUCUGCAAGGAGCCGUUACCAGAACGGAACUUCACUUUCUGGGAAUGGUUUUACGCCAUCAUGAAAGUCACCCGCGAGCACCUACGAGCAUUGUGGAAUGACAGUGUGGUGUGGGGCUUCGUUGGCCGCCGCGAGGCAGAUGAAAUGCUUCGACAAGGCUGCAAUGGGACAUUCCUGCUGCGUUUCAGCGACUCUGAGCUGGGCGGCGUCACCAUUGCAUGGCUCCAUGAGGAUCCUCAGCAAGACUCAAAGAAGUGAUAAUGAUCCAGCCGUUCACAAGUCGAGACUUCACAAUCCGAAGCCUGGCAGAUCGGGUGAGCGAUCUCCAGCAGCUCACCUUCAUGUACCCCGACAUACCCAAGGAUCAGGCGUUUGGGAAGUACUACACUCCUGUUACAGACACUCAGUCUGCCACCAGCAAUGGCUAUGUGAAGCCAGUCCUUGUCACUCAGAUACCAGGGUUGUCGGGGAUGUUGAACCUCGUUGACAGCAACCCAUCGACGCCUCAGUCCUAUUUCCACUCACACUCGCCGGACGCUGGAGCGAGCAUCUACCACGACGGUUCCUCCCUUGACCAGGCCAUGCAGUAAGUGUGUACUUGCUGCCUGCCUACCGGUCUGUGUCACUUUCCCUUUCCCCCCCUCCUAUCCUCUGCCGUUUAUCCCUUGCCUUCCCUGCCUCUUGCACAUCCGGGAGCCGUAGGGCUCCCUCAUGUCACGCAAACCGUUCCUGGCAUCACCGCCCCGCUUACCCUCCCUGCCUUCCUUCCUCCUUUCCUCCAAAAGUGAGAAGAAGGUGGAUCCGACGAUGCUGUGGCCUUCGAGGAGUUGGACCGGCAAUCCUCUGUCCUCCUCUUAAAGGCGGCGUCAUCUGGCUUGCCUCCUGGACUGCGUAAAGUGUGUGCAAUGGGAGGAGGAUUUGGUUUCGGAGCGCGCAACCUGCUUGGCUUUUCCUGGAAGCCAUCGAAGGGGAAUUUUGUGAGAAAGAAACCAAAAGAGGACAGUGUGUCGAGCGCUACUUGCCUGUCGAGCAGCCAACGUACCCAUGCAUUCAUUUCUUCUCUUUUUUCAUCUGAUAAUGACGCGGGUGUGUGCAGGGUGUCGCUGUAAUAUCUCUUGCGAGACCCCCGCUCCCUUGUUUUCUGUUCAAAUAGUUCUCUUAUUAUAUUUGGAAGUACUGCAGUGCGUACUGUUACAAGUGCUCCAAUAUAUCGCUUGUAAUCAUAUUUUCUUUUAUCUCAUUAUUUAGUAUGUGUUUUGUCAUUUUUAACCUCAUUUCUAACUCGUUUCUAAGCAGCUGUUCUUUCUUUUAUAUUAGCUCAUUUUUUCGCAAAGACAUUGCGCAAACUGUGCAUAUUUUGCACUCUUAAAGAAUAUACAUUUACUUCCC